GCAUAUCAAUAAGCGGAGGAAAAGAAACCACAGGGAUUGCCCUAGUAACGGCGAGUGAAGCGGCAACAGCUCGAAUUUGAAAUCUGGCCUCGGCCCGAGUUGUAAUCUGUAGAGGACGCUUUUGGCGCGGUGCCUUCCGAGUUUCCCUGGAACGGGACGCCACAGAGGGUGAGAGCCCCGUAAGGUCGGACACCAAGCCUGUGUAAAGCCCCUUCGACGAGUCGAGUAGCUUGGGAAUGCUGCUCUAAGCGGGAGGUAUACUUCUUCUAAAGCUAAAUAUUGGCCAGAGACCGAUAGCGCACAAGUAGAGUGAUCGAAAGAUGAAAAGCACUUUGAAAAGAGGGUCAAAUAGUACGUGAAAUUGUUGAAAGGGAAGCGCUUGUGAUCAGACUCGCGCCGGGCGGAUCAUCCAGUGGUCUCCACUGGUGCACUCCGGCCGGCGCGGGCCAGCGUCGGCUGUUGCGGGGGGACAAAAGCUCUGGGAACGUAGCUCUCUCCGGGGAGUGUUAUAGCCCUCUGCAGAAUACCCCCGCGGCGGCCGAGGUCCGCGCAUUGCAAGGACGCUGGCGUAAUGGUCAUCAGCGACCCGUCUUGAAACACGGACCAAGGAGUCGAGGUUUUGCGCGAGUGUUCGGGUGCAAAGCCCCAACGCGUAAUUAACGUGAACGUAGGUGAGAGCUUCGGCGCAUCAUCGACCGAUCCUGAUGUAUUCGGAUGGAUUUGAGUAGGAGCGUAAAGCCUCGGACCCGAAAGAUGGUGAACUAUGCCUGUAUAGGGUGAAGCCAGAGGGAAACUCUGGUGGAGGCUCGCAGCGGUUCUGACGUGCAAAUCGAUCGUCAAAUAUGGGCAUGGGGGCGAAAGACUAAUCGAAUCAUCUAGUAGCUGGGUUACCGCG
rnacentral:rRNA from 1 species